CUGUUCGCCAUUUAAAGUGGUACGCGAGCUGGGUUUAGAACGUCGUGAGACAGUUCGGUCCCUAUCUGCCGUGGGCGCUGGAGAAUUGAGGGGGGCUGCUCCUAGUACGAGAGGACCGGAGUGGACGCAUCACUGGUGUUCGGGUUGUCAUGCCAAUGGCACUGCCCGGUAGCUAAAUGCGGAAGAGAUAAGUGCUGAAAGCAUCUAAGCACGAAACUUGCCCCGAGAUGAGUUCUCCCUGACUCCUUGAGAGUCCUGAAGGAACGUUGAAGACGACGACGUUGAUAGGCCGGGUGUGUAAGCGCAGCGAUGCGUUGAGCUAACCGGUACUAAUGAACCGUGAGGCUUAACCUU
rnacentral:rRNA from 1 species